UACGUAGGAGACGAGCGUUGUCCGGAGUUACUGGGCGUAAAGGGUGCGCAGGCGGCCUGGCGCGUCGCGAGUGAAAAUCUCCUGGCUCAACUGGGAGGGUGGUCGCGAGACGGCUGGGCUUGAGGCUCGGUGAGGGGGCGUGGAAUUCCGGGUGGAGCGGUGAAAUGCGUAGAGAUCCGGAGGAACACCGACGGCGUAGGCAGCGCCCUAGACGAGACCUGACGCUCAGGCACGAAAAGCGCGGGGAGCGAACAGG
rnacentral:rRNA from 1 species